rfam:Oryza glumipatula chromosome 2, whole genome shotgun sequence.
AAUAAGUGCGAUUUUACACUAUUCACGUUUACCGUUUGUCUUAUUUAAAUUUAUUUAAAUUUUUUUUAUGAUUAGUAUUUUUAUUGUUAUUAGAUGAUAAAAUAUGAAUAAUACUUUAUGUCUGAUUAAAUAUUUUUAAAUUUUUCAUAAAUUUUUCAAAUAAGACGGACGGUCAAAUGUUGGGCACGGAUAUCCACGGCUGCACUUAUU